ACGCUGGCGGCGUGCUUAACACAUGCAAGUCGAACGAUGAAGCCUAGCUUGCUAGGUGGAUUAGUGGCGAACGGGUGAGUAAUACGUGAGUAACCUACCUUUAACUCUGGGAUAAGCCUGGGAAACUGGGUCUAAUACCGGAUACGACCAAUCUCCGCAUGGGGUGUUGGUGGAAAGCGUUAUGUAGUGGUUAUAGAUGGGCUCACGGCCUAUCAGCUUGUUGGUGAGGUAACGGCUCACCAAGGCGACGACGGGUAGCCGGCCUGAGAGGGUGACCGGCCACACUGGGACUGAGACACGGCCCAGACUCCUACGGGAGGCAGCAGUGGGGAAUAUUGCACAAUGGGCGCAAGCCUGAUGCAGCGACGCCGCGUGAGGGAUGACGGCCUUCGGGUUGUAAACCUCUGUUAGCAGGGAAGAAGAGAGAUUGACGGUACCUGCAGAGAAAGCGCCGGCUAACUACGUGCCAGCAGCCGCGGUAAUACGUAGGGCGCGAGCGUUGUCCGGAAUUAUUGGGCGUAAAGAGCUUGUAGGCGGUUUGUCGCGUCUGCUGUGAAAGGCCGGAGCUUAACCCCGUGUAUUGCAGUGGGUACGGGCAGACUAGAGUGCAGUAGGGGAGACUGGAAUUCCUGGUGUAGCGGUGGAAUGCGCAGAUAUCAGGAGGAACACCGAUGGCGAAGGCAGGUCUCUGGGCUGUAACUGGCGCUGAGAAGCGAAAGCAUGGGGAGCGAACAGGAUUAGAUACCCUGGUAGUCCAUGCCGUAAACGUUGGGCACUAGGUGUGGGGGACAUUCCACGUUUUCCGCGCCGUAGCUAACGCAUUAAGUGCCCCGCCUGGGGAGUACGGCCGCAAGGCUAAAACUCAAAGAAAUUGACGGGGGCCCGCACAAGCGGCGGAGCAUGCGGAUUA
rnacentral:rRNA from 1 species